rnacentral:lncRNA from 1 species
UGUCUGCAGUCCCCACGCUCUCCAAAAUCAAUCUCGGAGAGCAAGGCAGUGUUUUGCUGAGAUUAAGCAGAUUUGCAAAUUAGGAAGAUUAAAUGGAAAUGUAAUGAAAUGAAAAUUAAAUGUCCUUCUAUUUUUUUAUUAUUAUUUUUUAUUUUUAUUAUUUUUUUGAGAGAGACAGAGACAGAGACAGAGAGGAAGGAAGGAAAAAAAAAGGAAAAAUCGCCCUUUCCUGGGAGGUGUCUUUUGAGUGAUCCCCCAAAACGCCUUUCCCGGAGCAGCUCCCUGUCAAACUACACGCGCUCCCGUCCGGAGGGACUGAAAAGUGAUUCAAACUCUCCGGGAAGCACAGACAUUUUUAAUUCCAUCUGAUGCAGCAGCUCGGAAAGCAGCGAGAUCAGCCACCGGGGCUGCAAAGGAGGCUCUCUGCCUCCUCAAAUCCCCCAAAAGCAGAGCGGUUUUACUCAUCAAGGAAACAGCCGAGAAAAAGAAGGAUCGGAGGCACUCACCAGAGCGUAGACCGAGCUCAGCACGGAGCAGCAGAGGAUCAAACCCAGGCUGUGAUAAACCAGAUAUGAUCCCAUAUCCAAGGGGCUCCUUCCAGCAUCCACGCUCUCUCGGGGAAGUUGGAGGACGGAGAGGUCUUCCAGCGCUCCGCUUGCAGAUGAUUUCUCCUUCCCUCCCUCCAACCUCCCCCCCCCUCCACCUCACUCUCCAGAACCGGUGUUUGUUUGUUUGUCUGUUUGUUUGUUUGUUUGUUUUAGCCGGAAAGGCACAUGACGAGAAAGCCCGGUCCUUUGCUUCGCUUUCUCAUGGCUGGAGAUGCGGGCAGCUCCCGAAAGGCAGCGGAGGAGCCCAUGCGAAGAAGCGGAGCGACUUCGGCUUCGCUCAGCGCCGCAGCCCCCGGUGCUGGUUGUUUUCCGCGUGCAUCUGUCUCAGAGCAGAAAAAUCACAUCCAUAUGUCAAAGCCGCGCUCUUCUGUUUCCUUUUUAUGAGGCAGUGGGAAGUUCAAAUAAUUUCUUUGUCAAACGCAAACACACAGAAAGAGGCAGAGAGGGAGGGAGGGAGGGAGAAAGGCGAGAGAGGGGUGGAAGGGGUGGGAGAUCGGAGAGGGUGGGGGAGGCUUUAAACCACGGCUUUAUUUUUAGAUCCAGUAAUUUUAUCUUUUGGGUUUCGGAGGGGUUUGGAAAGAAAGAGAGAGAGGGAAAAAAAAAAAAAAAAGCCUUUUUUUUUCUUUUAAUUCUUUUUCUCCACUUUCGCCACACGAACGGCUCUCAGAGCAGAAAGUUACGGGGAAAAAAAAUAGCGAAAACUUGGAGAUAUUUUCCCUCCUCAUUUACUUUUUCUUCGCAAACAGCGGUGCUUUUGGGGGGGACCUUUUCCUCCUUUUUUUUUUUUUUUUUUUCCUUGCUGGUGUAUCGCCGCGCGUUUCGCCUCCACAAUAGGUUUAUUCUCCAGCCCUCCGGGUCGAAGUGUGUUUCAGUUACAAAUCGGGAUUUUUUCGCUCCUCUCUCCCCUCUCUGCCUCAGAGGAUCUGCAGUUUCAAAAAGCCGAUUGAACACGGCGUGAAAGCGUGAGGCUGACGACUCCCCCGCCUCCUACCGCCACUCUCUCUAGGUACUUCAUUUUAGAAUAUACUUUUUUUCUCGCGGCAAAAAAAGAGAGAAAAAAGAUUUUCCCUCCGCCAAACGUUCUAAAAUCUUUUUCAAUAUAUCCCUGUAUCUUUACUGUUUGAAUUUUUUCCCGUUCUCACACUCUCACGGGAGCGCAGUCCUCGUUCCGUGCCCCGCAAGGAGGAGCCCCCCGCGGAACCCCUGGCGCAUCGCAUCCCCGCUUUCCCCCCCUCAUGUCCCCAGCACCUCGCACCCCUCGUGGAUGUCACCAGCAUCGCAGUUUCAAGGCUGGGGAUGGUGCUCCCAGCUCAGCCGGGCGCUUUCAUUCAUAAAAUGGCAAGAUUGUAUCCAUGAAUGUGUGUAUAAUGAACCCAGAAGGAAUGCAGCACUAAAAGAAGCCUUUGUAAUGUUGCUAUUUUAAGGAGACCCUUGGGUAUGGCACGUGUUGAACUGAGUUUCUCCAACAUCUUACAACAAACCAAAAUGUUUAGAUCCUCCUACUGAUGUAAGACAGCAUAAAAAAAAUACAUAAUCAAUCUAAACUGGCUAAGGUUUUGACCAGGAAUUAUUGCUCCUGUGAAUUGGCUCUGUAUUGUAGCUAACUUUUACACAGCCUAAUAAUAAACAUCUCCUCCUCCCAGCUGGGUGAAUGUUUCCCCUCUGCUGGAGAUCAGGUCCCAGUCUGGAUAAAACACCUCUUGUCCUUUCUCUCCUCGGUCACUCAGGUUCAGUGAAACAUCAUGACUUACAUCAGCCAAAGCCUUUGAUCAGGGAGGGAAAGGUCUGACAUGGAUGGGGUUGGCAGCCACGCUGCAAGAAUCCCUCAUUGUGCAAGAAGCCAGUCCAAUGACCGACUGUCACCAAGGGCUGAUGCUUUGGACCCAGAAAGACACAAGUGGGAUGGAGAUCAGAGCCCUGGGCUUUUCCCCGCAGACCAGCAACUGGUGCCAUUUCUGGCUGAUUCUCUACUUUUCUCUUCCUAGUGAGGGUCUUUUGUUAUUUAUCAGCUCCUUUCAAAGCAACAGCCUGAGAGAUUUCACAAUACUUUUCACAUAUGGUUACUCAGCCUGGGGCUCUCCACAGCUUAGCUGUUUCAGUGAUAUUUGCACAGCACUGAGCAACAGCAUUCCUGACCUGCAGGAGAAGUGAGUGCCUCAAACCUCCUUUUCUCCAUAUACACAAGAUCUUUUUUUGCUCUUAAAAAACCCCAGACCCCUCUCCCCAUCCCUGCCAGUUGCACGGCAGACUGGAUGUCCCUGGCAGCACACUUGGGCUUGCAUCCAUUUUUCUUCUUUGUGUGUGUGUGCGUUGUCAUCCAAUGCAUGGCCAGAACCAAAGGAAAACUCAUGUGUGUGUUGUCAUCCAAUGCAUGGCCAGAACCAAAGGCAAACUCCAUUUGGGAGGUGAGCAAGGAAAACCCCUCCAAAACAGCCAGGAGCUGAAAAGAUUUGGCAAGCUUUGCAGGAGAAAACUGCCAGCAGGGAAAGACGAGGUGGAGGCAUUACUCUGACAGAAGAAGCUCUGAUUAGCAGAUUAUCACUUAAGUGAUGUUGAUCCCAGCCACGCUGCCUUCCAAAUGAGCCCUUUCACAGCUGCCAGCUGCACCACGGAGUCGUGAAUGUAAAUGAGUGGGCCAGAUCCUCUGCUGGCAUCCAUCGACGUGGCUUUGAUGGACCAUCCUGGAUCUACAACAGCCGGAGGAGUGUGGCUGUCGUGGGAGCCUGACUUGCUAUGCAGAUUUCUUUGAGAGCCUGUGGGAAAGGGCCUGAAGCUGGAUGUACUGCAGGAUAGGGCAGCAUCAACUGCACAGCUGGAGGGACCCUUGAGACUUUGACUUUUGCUGCCAAACAAAGCCAUCUUUGUAAGUAAUACCUGGUUCUAUCUUUUCAUUAUUUUUACUUUCCAUUUCAAUUACCAUCACUAAUUAAUUAAUUGGCGUGUUUAUUUCUUCGUUUUCAUUUACUUUCUAUUCCGGAGAUCAGACUGGGGCAAUCAGCCCCCACCUGAUGCCAGGCAGGGUGCAAAGCAGGAUGUCAGAACCUGGAGCCUCCUUAUUGAUAGCCGUAAGAGAUCCUUGCUGAGUCAGAUAGUGGAAAGAUGAGAUAAUUUGUUAUGUUUUUUCUUUUUCUUCAGUAAUAUUCAUUUAUUUCUUUAUUUAUUUUGCAGUUGCUGAGCUUGUAAACUGUUCCCUGGUACCGUACGCCAGCAUAUAGCAUCCUGCCCUCAUAAAGCUCUACUUAUCUCCAUCCAACUUCUUGGGCUGAGCGUGUGGGAAGCAUGUGAGGGACACUCAUGAGCAGCCUUGCAUUCUCCGAGCUGUGCUUUCCCCUGGGGAAGGCAUACUUGACCUCUGGCCACGUCCAUCCAAUCUGACAGACUGGUCUUCGGAGAAUGGUGACCAAGAAUAAGCUCCAUGUCCCACAUGCCACCUGUUCAUCUGCACCGCUCCCUCUCCAGCAGCUCAUGGGCCAUGCCCAGCCUAUGUGUGACACCUCUCUGGCUGCUCAGAUGGAAAGUAAGAGCUUGGAGAGUGAGGACAGCAUGGAGUUAUGGAAGACAUGGCUACAAGAGCAUUCUUUCUCCAUCUCCAUGUGCUUCUGAAGGACCAGUCUGAUUCUGGCUCCUGCCAAGUUAGGAUAUGCUAUGAUUCUGUGAACACUUUUUGCAGCAAGUCAGCCAUAAGAAACAACAUACUCUCAGACAAUCAAGCCUCCAAAUUAAGGUGGGGAGACUUGUUGUGAAGGAGAUGGUUUUUUUUUUCCUACUGUAGAAGGGAUGUUCAAUGCUAUAGUGACAAGGAACAAUUCUUCAGCCUUAGACAGCAGAAAGAAGAAACAUAAAGAGACUGUACAGUUCUUGGGACACCGAGACAACUAUCUACGUGCUUUGUGGAAGCAGAGACAAGUAUGAGAUUUGGCUUUCUGGGCUAUGAGGGCACACAGCUGGCUCACAUCCAGCUCCCAUCCACCAUUUAGAUAAGAUACUAUUGCUUUUAAUAAAGACAAGUCAAAGAUCUUCUCCUAAGUGCUCUUAAAGAACUCCAGCAUUGUGUCUACAAUAAUCCAUCCGCCUUAAAGGAUCCAGCAGUACAUCACCACCAGUGGAUAUAAGAAGUAAUUAGUCAUCAUUUAGGGAAGUAAGAUUUAACAGUUAUUUUGUUGGCAGAAGUGCCGUGAUAAAAAUGGUACUCUGAAAGUUAUUUGGUAUUUCUCAUUGUUGCCAGAGUUCUGAACAUUUUGAUAGGAUGAACAUAGACUUCGGUAGGAAAGUUGUGGAUUUUUUCCCCUCCAUUUAGUAGAAAUAUAAAUGUUACAAAAUAAAUAAUGAUAGAAUAUAUGUGUAUAUAUUUUCAAUGCAUAUUUUAAAAUGCAUAUGAAAUGCAUUUUUUAAAAUAUUUUGUUCAAAUAUUUUUACUAAUGUUGUAUACCUUGCAUCUGUGAAGAGGGUUAUCCCUUAAACAUCCUUUCUUCAGACAGUACUGGGAUUCAUCCUCAGGCCCCGUUAUCUUGCUCUACGUUUCCUAGAGUCCAUCUAUAUAAUAAAUCAGAAUACUGCAUGGUUACACAUCGUAAUUAUUUUUUAAAAUUAUUUUUUAUUUUUUUGCUGAUUGGGGAAAUGGUGAAAACUGGUUUUUGCAUAUUUCAACAAUGUUACUCAGCCAAGUAAAAGAACAAGGGAGCAGAAUGGAAGAGAAAUGAAGAAAUGGAAGGAAGGAAGGAAGGAAGGAAGGAAGGAAGGAAGGAAGGAAGGAAGGAAGGAAGGAGGGAAGGAGGGAAGGAGGGAAGGAAGGAA